rnacentral:rRNA from 1 species
AUUGAACGCUGGCGGCAGGCCUAACACAUGCAAGUCGAGCGGAUGAAGGGAGCUUGCUCCUGGAUUCAGCGGCGGACGGGUGAGUAAUGCCUAGGAAUCUGCCUGGUAGUGGGGGAUAACGUCCGGAAACGGGCGCUAAUACCGCAUACGUCCUGAGGGAGAAAGUGGGGGAUCUUCGGACCUCACGCUAUCAGAUGAGCCUAGGUCGGAUUAGCUAGUUGGUGGGGUAAAGGCCUACCAAGGCGACGAUCCGUAACUGGUCUGAGAGGAUGAUCAGUCACACUGGAACUGAGACACGGUCCAGACUCCUACGGGAGGCAGCAGUGGGGAAUAUUGGACAAUGGGCGAAAGCCUGAUCCAGCCAUGCCGCGUGUGUGGAGAAGGUCUUCGGAUUGUAAAGCACUUUAAGUUGGGAGGAAGGGCAGUAAGUUAAUACCUUGCUGUUUUGACGUUACCAACAGAAUAAGCAACGGCUAACUUCGCU